AGUGAACGCUGGCGGUAGGCCUAACACAUGCAAGUCGAACGGCAGCACAGUAAGAGCUUGCUCUUACGGGUGGCGAGUGGCGGACGGGUGAGGAAUACAUCGGAAUCUACUUUUUCGUGGGGGAUAACGUAGGGAAACUUACGCUAAUACCGCAUACGACCUACGGGUGAAAGCAGGGGAUCUUCGGACCUUGCGCGAUUGAAUGAGCCGAUGUCGGAUUAGCUAGUUGGCGGGGUAAAGGCCCACCAAGGCGACGAUCCGUAGCUGGGCUGAGAGGAUGGUUCGCCACACUGGAACUUAGACACGGUCCCGGCCCCUACGGGAGGGCGCAGGUGGGAAUUUUUGGCAAUGGGCGGAAACCUUGUCCAACCCAUCCGGGUGGGUUGAGAAGGCCCUCCGGUUGGAAAACCCUUUUUUUUGGGAAAAAAAGCCGCCAGUUUAAACCCCCCUUUUUUGACGGUACCCAAAAAAUAAGCCCCGGCUAACUUCGUG
rnacentral:rRNA from 1 species